UACGAAGGGGGCUAGCGUUGUUCGGAUUUACUGGGCGUAAAGCGCACGUAGGCGGGUCGUUAAGUCAGGGGUGAAAUCCUGGAGCUCAACUCCAGAACUGCCUUUGAUACUGAAGAUCUUGAGUUCGGGAGAGGUGAGUGGAACUGCGAGUGUAGAGGUGAAAUUCGUAGAUAUUCGCAAGAACACCAGUGGCGAAGGCGAAUCUCUGGACAGUUACUGACACUGAGGCACGAAGGCCAGGGGAGCAAACGGG
rnacentral:rRNA from 1 species